GCUGUCUCUGUCGCGCAGUGGACGGCCAGCCAUCACAUCAGUAGCUCGCGCGGCGGCCCCUUUCUCGUCGUCGCUGCAGCAGUGUGUAAGAGACUCGCUCUCUCGGCGCGACGCGGAUUCCCUCUGGUCGCCACCGCACGACAGACGGAGAACUAGGUGUCGUGUGGAUAUUCGUGCGCUCGAGAGAGAGAUAUAUAACCAACAUACGCGCGCCUCGAGAGCAAGAACGCGCAUAAAAUAUAUCGCGAGAGAGUACAUCGGAACGCCGUGGCCCACGGAGGAGAGGAGAGGAGAGUGAGCAAGAGAGAGACGGAGAGAGGACGAAGGGAGCGCAGAGAGUGAGAGAGCGACGAGCGCGCGGAGAGCAGCAGCGUUGAGUGCGUGGCAGCGGCGGGCUGCCUACUGCAGGUUCUUCUUCGGCCGACAGAACGGAAAAGCCAGCAGCAAUGUCGAUCAUCGGGAUUGUCAACAAGAACGACUUCAUCGUCGGCGGCAAGUACAGGCUUAUGAGAAAGAUUGGCUCCGGUUCCUUCGGCGACAUCUACCUCGGCAUCAACGUCUCCAAUGGCGAGGAAGUGGCAAUCAAAUUGGAAAACAUGCGCGCUCGCCAUCCGCAGCUACUCUACGAAUCCAAAUUGUACAAGAUAUUACAUGGUGGUGUAGGCAUACCCCACAUACGCUGGUAUGGACAAGAGCGAGAGUAUAACGUUCUCGUAAUGGACCUUUUAGGUCCUUCGCUAGAAGAUUUAUUUACGUUUUGUUCUCGCAAAUUUACAAUCAAGACAGUCCUCAUGCUUGCUGAUCAAAUGAUAGGCAGGAUUGAAUUUGUUCACUGCAAACACUUUAUUCAUAGAGACAUCAAACCAGACAACUUUUUAAUGGGCAUUGGCCGUCACUGUAAUAAGCUGUUCCUCAUCGAUUUUGGACUGGCUAAGAAAUUCCGCGACAGCCGUACCCGAAUGCACAUUACAUACCGCGAGGACAAGAAUCUCACGGGCACAGCGAGGUACGCCUCCAUCAAUGCUCACCUCGGCAUUGAGCAGAGUCGUCGGGACGACAUGGAGUCUCUCGGUUACGUACUCAUGUAUUUCAAUCGGGGAUCGCUACCCUGGCAAGGCCUUAAAGCCGCGACAAAGAAACAGAAAUACGAAAAAAUUAGCGAAAAGAAAAUGGCCACACCCGUCGAGGUUCUGUGUAAGGGCUUCCCAGCUGAAUUCUCCAUGUACCUAAAUUAUUGCCGAGGCUUGCGCUUUGAGGAGGGCCCGGAUUACAUGUACCUGCGCCAGUUAUUCCGCAUCCUCUUCCGCACGCUGAACUACCAAUACGACUACACGUUCGACUGGACGAUGCUCAAGCAGAAGGUCGCAGUCAGCAUCAACAACGGCCUGGCAACGACGCCUGGCCCAGGACAGUCGCAGCUUGCGCAGGGCCAGGGAGCCGGCCAAGGCCAGGCAACGGCCCCAGCUGCUCAAUCAGUGCGACUUGUACCAUCAACGCUUGGCAAGAGGAUAAAUGAUUGGAUGGAAUCGGCAGGUUCUUUCGUGAGAUAAUCAGGAAAAAAAACACUUAGCACUGUCGUAAACGGUCUUCCCUUAAUAUUUCUUUUUACAAUUUUAAGAAAAACCUUCACUUUUGUUUAAGCUAAAAUAUAUGGGAUAUCCGAGACAUUAUAAAAUUAUUUAACUUUGAUUUUAGAUAAAGAGAGUAACGUUUAUUUCAUUGUGAGCAUUUUUAAGAACGAUUUAUUCAUAUAAAUUUAUACUACAUAUGUUUUUUUGUACAUGCCUUCAUAAAAGACUCUAAUUGUGCGCAGUACUCGAACAUAUAAAAAUGUGAUAUAGAGUAAGUUGCAUUAUACUUAAAAGACAAUUAUAUUACUUGGACCUUGUAAAAAAUUAGUAAAUUUAUCGAUAAAAAAUCACCUUAACACGGACUUACGUCUUGUAUACCAUUGAGUGCAUUUUUAUGAUCCUUCGCUUCUUUUUGAUUUGGUUUUGUAACUAAUUUAUCAUAACUUAAAUUUAAUUACAAUGUCAUUAUCAAACGGAAGUGCAUUCUUGUUCCAAGUAUGAACUGAUGCAACAUGUACAGAAAUAAAGUCAUGUUUAUACAUAUCAACUCUUUUUUUUAACCUAGAAAAAAAGUCUUAUUGUAAGGAUAAGAUCAGAGCUGGUAAAAAAAUCGAAGUAUUUUAAUAAAAAUUAUUCUUAUUAUAAUAAUUAACGGAAACAUGAAUUUCGUAUCCCUAAUAAAACUUUUGGAUAUUGCAAAAUUUACUAAAAUUUUAACUAUUCAUCAAAGUAGAAUAGAAUAAAAUCGAAUUUCAAAAAAAUUAGAUUAACAUGUAUAAAAUGUUAAUAAUAAAAUAGUUAGAUAUUUAAAUAAUAUUAAUAUAUUAAAUUGUACAUAAAAAACAAAAUAAUUAAAGAAAAAUUAAUCUUAUCAUAUUUUAAUGUACAACAUACUCCUCAUAAUAGAGUUUGCUUUUAAAUUUUGAUUCGCCUAUUGUAAAAGUAUAAACUGAAAAUUAAGUAUCUCUCCAAAAUUAAUAUAAACUAUAUAAAUAAGUUAGUUAUGGGCUCUACGAAGUAUAUUUAUAGUUUUUAAAUUAUUAAUUUCAACGGGCCUAAAUUAAAAGCAAAGCAAAUCUGUAGGUUCACUUCAGAAAUUUUACGAAAGUCGCUAAUGUUUUGUAACUAAGAAUUCAAGUGAGAAAAAUUGAUCAUUGUGCAACUGCAACAUGGAUUAUACAAUCAACUUGAAGUUUUACAAGUAUACUUUAAGUAUACAAAAUAUCAGCGAACGCGUUAAAAAGUAAACUCUCCUGUUUCGUGAUAGCGCUAAACCUGAGAGAGACGAAAAGAAAGAGUGCGAGAAAACGAGUAUCAAAAAUCCAGCUCAUGCUCUGAGAAUCGAAAAUGCGGCGACGUUGGCCUGAACAACGGUCGAAUUCAUACGGCCUCUUUGUAAGAUCCUUAUUGUUAUCGCAUCGUCCGCCAGAAAUACGAAGAGGGACUGUCAAAAAAAGAAGUGUGUGUGUGUGUGUCUAUAUAUAUAUACACAUAUACACACACAUAUAACAAAAAAGUAAACUGAGCGUUGCGUGCUAAGACUUAAUCGUGUGUCUUGCUCGGUCAGCACGGUACUUCGCGUCUAAAUGAAAAAAAAAACAACAAAGUCAAAUAUAAAGAUAGCUUGUUUCUCAUUUACCUUUUGUUACAUUGACUAUUUAAUUACAUCGUUAACGUAUCAUCAUUUAAGCUUAAGUUCGAACGUUCCCGGAUGUCUAAAGAAAACAAAAUAAUAAAAAAAAGUCUUUGUCAAUGGCAUAGAUAAUUAUCUCACAAAUAAAGAAAACAAACACCGUAUUUCAUCGGACUCCAUUUUGCCAAGUGAUUUACGAUUUAGAGUAUAUUGAAAUACGAAUAUAUAAAUGAGUAUAUAUACCUAAUUUUCAUAGAAAGAAAGAGAGACGUUUAGAAUAUUCGCGUUUGCGCGUCGACAUAAUCCAGAAAAAAUUAUAUAUUAGGUUAUUACAAAAGUUCUGUUGCAUUUUCAAUGCAGCUCUUCGGUAAUACUAUAAAUGAAAACUGUUUGUAAUAUGUUAAUAGUGUUUACUAUUCGAGCAUUUAUCAAUGCCCGAACGUGUAAAAUAUAGAAAUUAGGACCGAGAAGGAGAAUUCUACAAAUGUUACUUUUCACGCACUGAUGUAUUAUGUUUUCGAGAGUUAGAUAGCUAGAGGAAGUGUCAAAUCAGUCCGUUUUUUUAUGUUUAUCUUAAAUUUUACCGGUAUUUUAUUUGCGCCUAAAGCUUCACAUUAAAAAAAACGACAGAAGUUCUGCAAAGACUUAAUAAAUAACACUUUUGUAUUUACUCUAUCAAUCCGAUACCCGAAAAUGAGAAGAAAAACAGAACGAUGGAGUGAGUGCGUAAUUGUAUUGAAGGUUCGUGAAGUCUUGUAUUCGCCCUUUGAUAUAGUACAUAAACGUAGUGCCGCAACAAGGAAAGGACGGAAGAGCAAAAGAAAUGAUUUGUUAGCCGAUACAAAAGAAGCUGAAAGCGUAUAAUAAAUGCAAGCUUUGUAACGGCGAGAGUGCGUUUAUCUUCUGAGUGUGAGACGACCGUUGACUCAAUUUUAUAGAGUCCAAUCACUUUUUUUGGAAAAAUAUACGUGAGUGACUUGGUAUACUUUAAAUGAAAAGAAAAACGCUGUUAAUAUUGACAUAGGAUUAAUUUUUAAUUGUAUAGAAGAGAAAGUAAAACAAAAAGAAACUAAAAGAAUAUCGACAGUCGCAUACGUCCUUGAUUUAUUAAUUUAUCUCUAUCACUGUCUCUCUUUCUCUUUAUUUUAUUGUCUAAAAGCAAAACUAACACAAGGAAUUCAUUUUUUUCUUUAAAUAAAUGCUUUGAUUUUAUGUAUUGAGUUGUGAUUUUUUAACGUAUCCCGUUAUGUUCGACUUGUUAAAGGCGUAGCAAUUAUUUGAAUCGGCAUAUUUAAUAAUCAUUAAUCAUUUGUCAUAGAAUAAAUGGUUUUAGAUGAUAAAUGCGUCGUCGAGAAUCUGUAGGCGUAAUGUAAAUUUCGAAACACUGAAAGUUUAAAAAAGUAUAACGUAAAUUGUCUGUGAAAUUGAAAAUUCAUUUUUUGUGAUAGUCUUGCUUGCAGUCUUUAUUAUGAUUAUAGCGCAAUGCUUACACGUAAAAAAUGACGUUUCGAGUAGCGUAACCGACUAAUUGUUUACAAGUGUGUCGAUGUUAGGCACCAACGUCAUGAAAUGUAUCAGAAGAUAAAAAAGUCACUAAAAUGCCGUAAGUUUAUCGCUUACGACUCUUACUCUCUGUGCCUGUACUUCGUUUUCGUUUCUUUUUCAAUCAGAUGAUUUAUAAGUUUAAAAUGUUUUUUUGUGUUUUGGAAAAUGAGAGAAUAUAAGCUAGAGAAAAUUACAAUGGUUCUGUUCUAAUACAAAGUAGAGAAGUCUUUAUUUUCAAGAAUCAGAGGAAAUUCUAUCGGAACUAGUUUUAUUAAGUAUAAGGGUUAAAUAAAAAAAAAAUUGUAUCAGAUGUUUUUGAGAGGUGUUUUUUGAAAAUAAAGAUAUCUCUUUCUCUUGUAAAUUUAGUAAUUCAUACUCCUUUUAACUCUAUUGUCGUUGGUGUCAUGUAUACUGUAAAAAAGAAAAUUAAAUGUAUGGUGUAAGUCGUCGCAAAAGAAUUUUCGGCCCGCAAAAUACGAUAAUUCUGGCACUGGCAUCAAAGCAAAUUCGGAGAUGGAUAAAGAUUCAUUACUUAUUGCAAUGUAAUUUCAAUGCAGGAGGAAACUGCAAUUUGUUGAUGAAAAAAAUAAGAUGAUGUCAUAUGCUGCCACUGUAACUAUUAAAACAUUAUAUUUUGUACACAUGUAAACUCAUAAAAGCUCACACUGAUUAUAUACUUUAAGUUUUUUUAAAAAUUCAGUAAAAUUGAGAAAAGUCUGCAAAACGCGCAUUAUUUUCAGUUUUGAUUCCUUUUCUAAGAUAAAAGAGGGAACAAGUUAUAUGGAAUUGUGUUUCAAAUACGGUAUGAUGUGAUUGCACAUGGAAUACAUAUGUUAUGAGUGAUCAUAUAUACAAAUGUAAAGAUGUACUAAAAUUAACUAAAUUUGUAUCGAUUUUUUUUUUUUAAAUCGCUUUUGGAUGUAACAAUGUAGAACACGUUUUCAUAUAACUGCUUUCUUCAAAGAAUUAGCAAGAAAAAUUUACACACUUACAUAUAUUUUUAGUUACAUGAAAUUUUACUUGAGUUGAUAAAAGUCUGCAAAGAAGCGUGUAUUUUGAUUUUUAGCUUCAUGUUUUAUCGAUCAUUAAUUGAUAACACGUCGUACGUGAUGUUCGUUUUUUUUUCAUACUCGUUAAGAUUGCAUACACGUCCAUAAAAUGCGCUCUAAGUUCUUGCAAGCGUCAGAUCCAACAUAGCCAGCGUUGAUCUGUCAUCGAGGCUGCAAAGGAAAUCGAAUGAUAAUCUGCAGAGGAUGAUAAAUAAUAGACAACAGCCUCGAUCAAAACUCAUAAUCACAUUACUUAGAGAAAUGUUAUUAUAUGAAGGGAGAAGAAAAAUGAUAAAAUGAUAUAAAAAAAAACAAAUUUCUAAACUUGUAAAAUGAUUGUGAGAGAAUGGGAGAAUAAUAACCAUGCUUCAGUAUGCUUGGUUAACAAUUAUUAUUAAAUGAAAAUAAAAAUAGUGUGAGUAAGGAUGAAGAUGAAUGAGAAUGUGCUAAGUGAAUGCGUUUGUGGGUGGCGUGAUAAGUUAAUUAUUACUGAAUUAUUAAUUACACAUGCACAUGAAUACUAUCCAGUAUAUAUUAUAUUAUGAAAAUGUGACAGUAAUUAAGAACAUGCGUUAUUUCAUAAAUACUGAAAACUACGUCAAAGGUUUAUUGCUCCCUUUGUCUCUAUAAAUAAAAAAAAUCAACAUUGUACAAA